rnacentral:lncRNA from 1 species
CCCUCCCCUCACCCCUAUAAGGAAUAAGCUUCUCCCCCACUCUGCAGAACCAGCAAUCGACCUGUUGUUUAUUCUCCCUGUCUUCUGCCGCAGCAUGGGCCGCUAGUCGAUUUCUAUUGAUUGGGGAAGGCCAAGACCUCUGUUUCCUAACAGAGGGAGGGAGAGGACUGGGGACACUGAUAAUGUUUAUUUCGUGAACGUGGAAAUGUGAAUUACUAACUGCUGCUUGAGACAGGAUUUGCUCUUCGGGAAGUUUAAUAUGAGUCUAGGAGAGCUCGGAAGUUUCUUUCUUGCAAGAUGGAUUCUCCCGCAGUCUUGUUUUGGAUUUCAAAGGUCUGUGAAAAAGGGAACAGAUGACCCUGUGCUUGUAGCGUUGAGCACGAGGUUUUAAGAAUACAAGGAAACACAGUUUAUUCUUGUUUGGGAAGGGAGACACUGAUCACGAAGCUGGUUUCCGCUGGCGGAGUGUGAUCACUGCGGCUGUGCAAAGUCCGGAGACUGCACAGAUAUGAGGGAGAGGGGCGCUUGUGUGAGCUUCCCCGUCUAGUGCCAGAGUCAAAGUGAGUGUUUAUGCAACUGACCUUUCAGGUUAAGGGCGAUCAUUUGCUGCUUGUUUGAAAGAAAGCGUGUUUUGCCCUUGGGCUUGAAGCUUUAAACUGACAACCUACUUUUAUCGACUCAAGGACUGGACCGUCAAACCUGAAAAGAAAAUCAACGACUUUCUUUCCAACCUGUUGUUCCAGCCAAUCCCUUUGGGAAGAACAACUGGAAGACUUGGACCCCCACCCCCCGCCCCCACAAAUGCUUAAGCAUGCUUCUGAAGCUGCAGUCUUCCUAAACCACCAUGGGGCUUCCAGUGGUCUCAGAGGUCAUCAAGGGCCUCUCCAGAGCAGUCAACGCCCCUUCCUCCACCAGCACUUCUCAACUUUGGCUGCCCAGUGGAACAGUCACCUGGGAUGGCGUAUAGCAAUGACCUUGAAGGCUGUCUCAAUGCACAAGGCUCUCUGUUCCCUACGUCAAGCAGCACAUAUUGAGCUCUGCAUGGAUCUUCUGAUUAAUCCUCCAAUACCCACUGAGAUGCAAACACAAAGGGGAAGAAAUGCAGCCUUGAUUGAGGAUGGCUGGAGUGGGAAAAACCUGACACCUGCUAUAACUGGCCAUUCGCAGGAAAUGCCUGCUGAGGAAGGACCUGGGAGGGAACGGGAGCGCCUCACUUCAACCUGGAUCUAA